AACACAUUUCUAGCGGCAAAUGCAAAGUUGAAGAGCAAGGUCAGUUGAAGAGCAAGGUCAAGAUACUGAAAAUCUGCAGAAGAAACUUGAAGAAAGUUGUGGAGAUCUGCAGGCCGAGCUCUCAAAAAAAGAGAAACAAAUUAAAGCAGUGGCGACAAAGAUAAACAAAUUGAAAGAGGAGUCAGACAAUCUUCAGCAGUCAAAUGAAGAGGAAUGUAAAAGAUUGCUUCAUCUGAGGCUGAGCUUCAGAAAAAAGUUGGUAUCAGUACCAGUAUGAAAAAUGAUGACAAAAUGACAAAAUGGUUGAAGAGAAAGAUUCAGAGCUUGAUGAGAAGAAGAUGAAAGACAUGGAGGCAACUGCUAAUAUAA